rnacentral:rRNA from 1 species
CCUACGGGAGGCACCAGUGGGGAAUAUUGCACAAUGGGCGCAAGCCUGAUGCAGCCAUGCCGCGUGUAUGAAGAAGGCCUUCGGGUUGUAAAGUACUAUCAGCGGGGAGGAAGGCGAUAAGGUUAAUAACCUUGUCGAUUGACGUUACCCGCAGAAGAAGCACCGGCUAACUCCGUACCAGCAGCCGCGGUAAUACGGAGGGUGCAAGCGCUAAUCGGAAUCACUGGGCGUAAAGCGCACGCAGGCGGUCUGUCAAGUCGGAUGUGAAAUCCCCGGGCUCAACCUGGGAACUGCAUUCGAAACUGGCAGGCUAGAGCCUUGUAGAGGGGGGUAGAAUUCCAGGUGUAGCAGUGAAAUGCGUAGAGAUCUGGAGGAAUACCGGUGGCGAAGGCGGCCCCCUGGACAAAGACUGACGCUCAGGUGCGAAAGCGUGGGGAGCAAACAGGAUUAGAUACCCGCGUAGUC